rnacentral:misc_RNA from 1 species
GAUGAAGAACGUAGCGAAAUGCGAUACGUAAUGUGAAUUGCAAAUUCAGUGAAUCAUCGAGUCUUUGAACGCACAUUGCGCCCCCUGGUAUUCCGGGGGGCAUGCCUGUCCGAGCGUCAUUGCUGCCCUCAAGCACGGCUUGUGUGUUGGGCCCCGCCCUCCGAUCCCGGGGGACGGGCCCGAAAGGCAGCGGCGGCACCGCGUCCGGUCCUCGAGCGUAUGGGGCUUUGUCACCCGCUCUGUAGGCCCGGCCGGCGCUUGCCGAUCAACCCAAAUUUUUAUCCAGGUUGACCUCGGAUCAGGUAGGGAUACCCGCUGAACUUAAGCAUAUCAAUAAGCGGAGGA